rnacentral:rRNA from 1 species
CACAAUUCCGUGAAUCAUCGAAAUCUUUGAACGCAAAUUGCACUCCCUGGCAUUCCGGGGAAUAUGCCUGUU